rnacentral:rRNA from 1 species
CGAGAAAGCCCGCAAGGGUGAGUAAACCGGCGAACGGGUGCGUAACACGUGGAUAAUCUACCUUCCUGACCGGGACAACUGGCCGAAAGGCUUGCUAAUACCGGAUAAGACCACGGGGGCUUCGGCUCCUGAGGGAAAAAGUGGCCUCUGUAUACAAGCUAUCACAGGGAGAUGAGUCCGCGGCCCAUCAGCUAGUUGGCGGGGUAAAAGCCCACCAAGGCAACGACGGGUAGCUGGUCUGAGAGGAUGAUCAGCCACACUGGAACUGAGACACGGUCCAGACUC